rnacentral:tRNA from 1 species
GGGGUUAUAGUUAAAUUAACAUCUAAUUUGCAAUUAGAAGAUACUUAAAUUAAGUUAUCCUCA